CAACCCGUCUCUGUUGCAAAAGAGUGGGAAGAUUUUCAAGUAGAGGUGAAAAGCCUACCGAGCUUAGAGAUAGCUGGUUGUUCAGGAAAAGAGUUUAAGCUCUACCUUAAGUCUUCACUGUUACCCCAAACACAACCCUAGACUUAAGAGCUAUUCAAAUAAGGCACAGCUUAUUUGAAACAGGGUACAACCUCCGACACUGGGUAAAUAUGGGUGCACCCAAGUAAAGUGGGCCUAAAAGCAGCCACCUUCUAAAAAGCGUUAAAGCUUAACCACAAGCCUCCCUUAAUUCCUUAAAUUAAUUUUAACCCUUAAUCACUACUGAACUAUUUUAUAUCUUUAUAAAAGUCACCAUGCUAGAACUAGUAAUAAGAAAUUGCCUUUCUCCUAAAUGUAAGCGUAGACCAAAAUGGACCUACCAUUGGUAAUUAACGUAAAUGUCUCUAUUAUAGUAACACUCAACUAGAAAACCCUAUAAGCUCUAACGUUAGCCUAACACCAGAACAUUUCAGGAAAGAUUAAAAGAGAAAGAAGGAACUCGGCAAACCUUAGCCCCGCCUGUUUACCAAAAACAUCGCCUCUUGAUUAAACAUAAGAGGUCCAGCCUGCCCGGUGACAUAGUUUAACGGCCGCGGUACCCUAACCGUGCGAAGGUAGCAUAAUCACUUGUUCUUUAAAUAGGGACUCGUAUCAACGGCAUCACGAGGGCUAUACUGUCUCCUUUCUCCAAUCAAUGAAACUGAUCUCCCCGUGAAGAAACGGGGAUUGACCUAUAAGACGAGAAGACCCCAUGGAGCUUCAAACUCAACAUACACCUCUACGCACCUAAAUCACUUUAGCCCAAGAGAUCUGUCUGUUAGUUUUGGGUUGGGGGGACCGCGGAGUAAAAAUUAACCUCCACGACAAACGGGCCUAACGCCCUUAUCCACGAACUACAACUCUAAGAAUCAAUAAACUGAUGUUUAUGACCCGAUUAUUCGAUCAACGAACCAAGUUACCCUGGGGAUAACAGCGCAAUCUA
rnacentral:rRNA from 1 species